rnacentral:lncRNA from 1 species
AAAAAAACAGUGCUGGGAAAACUGGGGAUCUAUAUGCAGAAUAGUGAAACUAGACCCCCACCUCUCACUCUAUACAAAAAUCAAGGCAAAAUGGAUGUAAUACUAAAAUAUAAGACCUAAAACUAUGAAACUACUAGAAGAAAACAUGGGUAAACACUUCAAGACAUUGGUCUGGGCAAAGACUUUUUGAGGGUAAGUCCUCAAAAACACAGGUGACAAAAGCAAAAAUUGAUAAAUGGAAUUACAUCAAGCUAAAAAGCUUCUGCACAGCAAAGGAAGCAAUCAACAAAGAAACAACCCACAGAAUGGGAGAAAAUACUUGCAAACUACCCAUCUGGCCAGGCGCGAGCCACCACGGCCGGCUGAAUAAACAUUUGUCAAAAGAAGACAUACUAGUGGCCAACAUGUAAAUGAAAAAUGUUCUGGAUAAACAGAAACUGAUUAUAAAACAAAAAACAAAAAAAAAAAAAGAAAAAAGAAAAUGCCUGACAUCACUCAUCAUCGGUAAAAUGCAAUCAAAACCACGAGAUAUCACCUCACCCCCAUUAGAAUGGCUAUAAUCAAAAGAACAGAAAAUAAAGAGAUGCUGGCCAGGAUGUGGAGAAAGUGGAAUGCUCCUACACUGUUGGAGAAAUGUAAAUUAGUACAGCCACCACAUAAAACAGUAUGGAGAUUCCUCAAAAAACUAAAAAUAGAACUACCAUAUGAUACAGCAAUUCCACUGCUGGGUGUAUAUCCAAAGGAAAGGAGAUUGGUGUAUCAGAGAGACAGCUGCACUCCCAUGUUUAUUGCAGCAAUUCACAAUGACCACAUAUGGAAUCAACCUAAGUGUUCUUCAACGGAUGAAUGGAUAAAGAAAGUGUGGUAUAUACACUAUGAAAUAUUAUUCAGCCAUAAUAAAAUGAAAUCCUAUCAUCUGCAGCAACACGGAUGAAACUGAAGGACAC